GAUGAACGCUGACAGAAUGCUUAACACAUGCAAGUCGACCGGAAUGUGGGUUUUUUAACUUGGAUCUGGGUGGCGGACGGGGGAGGAACGCGUAAAGAACUCGCCUCACAGCUAGGGACAACAUUUGGAAAAGAAUGCUAAUACCUGAUAUUAUGAAUAUAUGGCAUCAUAUAAUUAGGAAAGCUAUAAGCGCUGUGAGUGAGCUUUGCGUCCCAUUAGCUAGUUGGAGAGGUAACGGCUCACCAAGGCGAUGAGGGGUAGCCGGCCGGAGAGGGUGAACGGCCACAAGGGGACUGAGUCACGGCCCUUACUCCUACGGGGGGCAGCGGUGGGGAUUAUUGGACAAUGGACCAAGAGUCUGAUCCAGCAGUUCUGUGUGCACGAUGACGUUUUUCGGAAUGUAAAGUGCUUUCAGUUGGGAAGGAGAAAAUGACGGUACCAACAGAAGAAGUGACGGCUAAAUACGUG
rnacentral:rRNA from 1 species